UAGGGAAUCUUCGGCAAUGGACGAAAGUCUGACCGAGCAACGCCGCGUGAGUGAAGAAGGUUUUCGGAUCGUAAAACUCUGUUGUUAGAGAAGAACAAGGACGUUAGUAACUGAACGUCCCCUGACGGUAUCUAACCAGAAAGCCACGGCUAACUACGUGCCAGCAGCCGCGGUAAUACGUAGGUGGCAAGCGUUGUCCGGAUUUAUUGGGCGUAAAGCGAGCGCAGGCGGUUUCUUAAGUCUGAUGUGAAAGCCCCCGGCUCAACCGGGGAGGGUCAUUGGAAACUGGGAGACUUGAGUGCAGAAGAGGAGAGUGGAAUUCCAUGUGUAGCGGUGAAAUGCGUAGAUAUAAGGAGGAACACCAGUGGCGAAGGCGGCUCUCUGGUCUGUAACUGACGCUGAGGCUAGAAAGCGUGGGGAGCAAACAGG
rnacentral:rRNA from 1 species